GGGGGGGGGGAGAAAGAAUGUGGACAGGGGCACCCGCCGCUCGUCUCGCUGGGCUCGGCUUACACGUUGGAACAAGUACGUGUGUUUGCGUGCGUGCGUGCGUGUGUGCGUGCGUUCCCACAGAUGCAACAAGGGCCACGCCCUGAAACUUUGCUCACUUAUGCAAAGAAUGAGAAGACUGGCUGGGGGAGGAAAAGUUUGAAGAGAAACACUACAAAGAAUGCCUUUAAAUGUGAUUUAAAAAGAAUAUACCACAUAUGACAGUGAACACCUGUGUGUGUUUGUGUGUUGUGUGUACGCGGGGGAGUGAUCGGAACAGCCAACAUUGCAAAAGAAAGGCAGAAAAACAUUGCAGUUGAGUCAAACCUUCUGACUGUAUGGCAUACAGACACUGUGGCCAGCCAAUCAGCUGCCAGUACUGCUCCAAGUUGAGAUCUUCAUCUGUCCAAUGGGUAGGAGAACAAUUGUGUUCAGUGAAUGUGUCACUUUUAACAGUGGUUAAAGGCAGGAUUUGGGAGUCUGUCGCCAUCUGGUGGACGUUUGACUGAACUGCACGUAAGGAAGACUAAAAAAAAAAAAAUACGUGACACUUCCUAAAUUUUGAGGACUUUAAUCUGUCACGAUUUACAUUUUUUAUAUAACUCAUUUCAUAGGAGAAUUGUAGGGAGAAUUAUUUUUUGUUAAGAGUGGUUAAGGGGGGAUUUGGGAGUAUCUAGUGGACGUUUGGCUGAACUGCAUGCAACGUGACAUUUCCCAAACUUUGAGUACUUUAAUCUGCUACACAGUCACGGUUAACAUUUUUUAUAUAACUCAUUUCAUAGGAGAAUUUUACGGAGAGUUAAUUUUUGUUAACUAGCUAACCUGUUUGCCUAUCUAAAUGUUUUUUUGCCUCAGGGUAAUUUGGCCGUGUGUCUAGAGUUAGUAAAUAAAUAGGAAAGAGACAGUAUAGCUGACCGCAGACACAUUUGGAACCACAAAAAUGGUGAUUAAACUUGGAGGGUUACCUUAAUUGUAUUAUAUCGUAUUGAAGGAAACCCACCCUUGGUAUUUCACUUAUUUCUUAUUCUCCUGCCAGCAUACACUGUAACUUAGGACACAAACAAUCUAUAUAGCAGACUCAUUAAGCUCAGAACAUUCAUGGAUUGAUUUUAAGACCAACUCCAGGUAUAAAUCACUCACUAAUUGAGCAGAUUGUGACUACUAGAGAAAAUGUACCAUCACACAAAUGGUUUCAUAGUUUUGUCAAGUUUGGGGGCAUUAAGAGACAAUUGCUUCACUCUCAAGUGCUGGAGAGAGCGAAAAGAAAGUCAUAAAAAAAAAGUGGAAUUACAGGCAAACUUUUUGUGAACGAGCCACUUGGGCUCAGCAGCUGACAAAACUUAUUAGUUCAGGUAAAGCCUUGACAGGAUGUGCAUUAGGGAGACAGGUAGAGCACUAACAAGCUCUGUGGCUUCAUCAUCCAAAAGCUACUUUGCAGAAGUUUUCAGGUCCCUUACAUCCUAUUCUGAGUCAUCAGUGGGGGAAAGAAGUGGGCAGUUGCUUUUAAUCAAAACGGUUAGGGGAAUGUGUAAACGACUGAGUGGCGACUGUAAACAAAGUAAUACCAAAAUAACAUGAAAAAUAGACCAAGAUGAAUAAUUGCUUAACUUUUUACGCCAUUAAUUUGAUUUAUGACCUGCACACAAAACAAAUAAUCCCAUCAGGUAGGAAAAUGUAUAGCUUGCAGAAAAAGAUAUAUUAUAGUAAUGUGCUCAAAAACAAGCAACUUCCCACAAACAUGGCCGCCAAUGCUACUCCGAAAAAAGAAUUCUCAUGUAAACAAAUAUACAUACAUGACAACCAAAAGCAUUCUAUUCUUCAAAAUUAUCAAAAGUCAACACAGUACAAAACAAAAGAAAGCAGUAGUUCAACAAGACAAAUUAAAUCUCCUACCUUGGAUAAAACGCCAUUGCCAUGUUGACUUAAUGGUAAACCGGAAAUGGCAGCAAACGUCUUCCGGGUUGAUAAAGAGGUCAGUCCUCCUGCUCGUGCACUCAAUCAAUAUUCCGGCCUCUCAUUUGUCAAGUAAGGUGUCAAUCAAUCAAAUUGACCAAUAGGAUGGACGUUUUGCUAUACUGACUUGCAAUUAUCGGUUUUUAGCAAGAUUGUAAGUGCCUCACUAUUCAAAAAUACUUAAAUAAUAACACAAAAAAAUCUAUUUGUUUUAUUUAAACUUAUCUUCUGUCUGUAGUUUUUUUCGAGUGUGUGUGUCACUACUAAAAUCAUUCGUCUUCGGAUCUGUGAUCGUUGGCCAAGUCUUGUGUGAGAAGAGGCCUUGAGACAGUUGGAUGCUGACAUUUUAUUGAACUGCUGCCAUGGCAAUAAAAGUGACAAUUUUUGAAAUUGAAAGAAAAACACCUCUGAAAGCAGCAACAAAAUGGGACGUAUUAUUAUUAACUGCAAGCAAAAGUAAACCACCAUCAGUCAAUCUAUUACUACUACAGUGCUGUUUUCAAAAUAAAACACAUAUCAAGCACUUUAGUACGCAACGUGAGUUAUGUACUUAAAGAGAAACAAACAAGCUUUGAACAAUAUUUUCUGUGCCUUUCUAUUUCAUUAAACUGGACGAAAUAAGUUACUCGUAAGCAAUGAAUGCAACUAUGUACAAAUAUUUAAACAAAGGAAAAAAGGCUUCUUCAAAAUAAACAAACAAAAAGACAUUCACGUCACUUCAAUAGCUCCAGACGUGUUGCCAUGGGAACCGACUCAAAUGAUUCAAACUGCAUUGUGACAAUAAGACUGAGCAGUGUGAAGGCUUCAGUGGAAGGGAAAAAAAGAACAAGUCCAUCUGGGAAAGAAGUGGGAACACUCACAGGCAGGAUGCGCCGAUCAAAUUGUUGUCAGAACAACUAGGCAGAAUGUACAAUUCAACAGAAACGUGUUCCCAUUCAGCCCAAAAAAAAAAACCCAAAAUUUAUUUUACAUAAACUAAUUUGCGAGUAUUCUUUUCCUACUCAUUUUAGUAUUUAUA